GUCCACGCCGUAAACGAUGAGUGCUAGGUGCUGUGGGUAUUGACCCCCGCGGUGCCGCAGCCAACGCGUUAAGCACUCCGCCUGGGGAGUACGGCCGCAAGGCUAAAACUCAAAGGAAUUGACGGGGGCCCGCACAAGCGGUGGAGCAUGUGGUUCAAUUCGACGCAACGCGCAGAACCUUACCUGGGUUAAAUCCACUCGAAUCUGGUAGAGAUACCGGGGUGCCCUUCGGGGAACGAGUGAGAAGGUGCUGCAUGGCUGUCGU
rnacentral:rRNA from 1 species